rnacentral:lncRNA from 1 species
GAUAUUUCAAGCAAGGAUCCUAAAAAUCCCAAAGAAAUCAGAUGAAAUAAGAGCCGAAAGGCUCAUGGGGGACCUAACAAGAGGAAUGCGACAGAAGGAAAAUGGGGGAGAAGGGGCACCUAGAUGGCAAGAAAAGGAACGAAAGUUUCAGGACUAACCUAAGUCGCUCUGAAGGAUGCAGAGGCGCAAGGAUAGGGAUGACUCGAAGAACACCUAGGGCCAAAGCGGAUGCC